rnacentral:rRNA from 1 species
AGUGAACGCUGGCGGUAGGCCUAACACAUGCAAGUCGAACGGCAGCACAGAGGAGCUUGCUCCUUGGGUGGCGAGUGGCGGACGGGUGAGGAAUACAUCGGAAUCUACUCUGUCGUGGGGGAUAACGUAGGGAAACUUACGCUAAUACCGCAUACGACCUACGGGCGAAAGCAGGGGAUCUUCGGACCUUGCGCGAUUGAACGAGCCGAUGUCGGAUUAGCUAGUUGGCGGGGUAAAGGCCCACCAAGGCGACGAUCCGUAGCUGGUCUGAGAGGAUGAUCAGCCACACUGGAACUGAGACACGGUCCAGACUCCUACGGGAGGCAGCAGUGGGGAAUAUUGGACAAUGGGCGCAAGCCUGAUCCAGCCAUACCGCGUGGGUGAAGAAGGCCUUCGGGUUGUAAAGCCCUUUUGUUGGGAAAGAAAUCCAUCUGGUUAAUACCCGGGUGGGAUGACGGUACCCAAAGAAUAAGCACCGGCUAACUUCGUGCCAGCCGCCGCGGUAA